UACGUAGGGGGCGAGCGUUAUCCGGAAUUACUGGGUGUAAAGGGAGCGUAGACGGCGAGGUAAGCCUGAAGUGGAAGCCCGCGGCCCAACCGCGGAACUGCUUUGGGAACUGUUUUGCUGGGGUAUGGGAGGGGUAAGCGGAAUUCCUGGUGUAGCGGUGAAAUGCGUAGAUAUCAGGAGGAACACCGGUGGCGAAGGCGGCUUACUGGACCAUAACUGACGUUGAGGCUCGAAAGCGUGGGGAGCGAACAGG
rnacentral:rRNA from 1 species